rnacentral:lncRNA from 1 species
CUGUUAUCUACCACGAGUGUGUCCAUUGUCAAAUUACUGUUGUGCGCAUUGCACUCUCUGGGCACCACCAUGCAUAUCGUCAUCAUCUUCUUCAUAUGCCUCUUGGGCCUGUUGCUGCUGCUUCCUGCGCAUUUCCUCUUCAAUGUUGACAUCAUGCAAGGUGGUCUCCUCGCACUCAUCCAAUUCCAUAUCGGUCGCUUGUGUUUUGGGUUUUUGGGGCAGCACUGCUUCAAGAUUCUUGCACAACUCUGGGGUUAAUGCGUCCGGGAAGUCCACAGUGAAGUGAAUGUACAGUUUACCUCUCAUGAACGAGCUCUGGUACAGCGGCAUUCCUUCAUCAUUUAUGCCCUUGAACUGAUCUAUGGUGCCAAAAACAGAAAUUACACAAUAUCAGCAAACAUAAAUAGAUAACUACCAGUAGAGAAACACCAACCAUAGGAUACUCUCCCCACCCCCAUCCCUGCUCCCCCCCGGUGAUAUGUGUAUCAGCAAGAAGACCGUUUAACCAUGAGCAAGAGACGGUCAUCUAGAGGCAUAUACUUAUCAAUGCAUGCUCACCAUGUAAACACAAAGAAAGUGAGGUAUAGCAUAAGACAACAAAAGUAGACUAAGCAUGCACAUUUGUUAAGUUUUUUUUUUUCUAAAAAAAAAAGGAAAUAAAAGGAACACAAAGAAUUCAAAAACAUGAUAAUGGUCUAGUUACCAGCUUGAGGGCUCAAAGAAAAGCAUAUUAUAAAAAGGGCAGUGUGUUGCACUAAGCUCCCGCUAUGCGUGGAUAGUGGGGUCCGGGAAAGGACCAGACCACAAGGAUCCGUAGUACGCAGCCUUACCUUGCAUUUCUGCAAGAGGCUGUUCUACGAAUCAAACACGUCACCUCCUGGUCACAUGGAUGCAACUUAACCAGUUACGCCAAGACUCCCCUUCAAAGAAAAGCAUACAAAUGCAAGGAAAUUUAUUAGUAUUCAUAUCAAAGAUAUUAAAAGUUAACACUGAAAGCACAUGCCAGGACAAAAAAGACUAUAUAAGCGCUUCCAAUACCUCAAAAAUAAUACUGGUACGAAUAUCAGAACAAAAAGCCCAUUAUUAAGUUUCUUUGGCUUACCAGGCUUGAUAACUUCUCCAGGUUGGGACUUAAUCAUCAGCUGUCUAUUGUCUAAGUGAGUCAAGACAAACUGAAAACCACAUAGAGCCUCAGUCAAGGUCAAGGUGUGUUCUACAAAGAGAUCAUCUCCCUUUCGCUUAAACUUGGGAUGUAACCGAUAAUAUAAAAACCAAACCGACCGAUGCACACCCUUAACUACGGUCAGAGAGUUAAAUAAAUCGAAAAGAAAAGAGUCUGAGGUUGCUCCACAGAAAGCUAACACUCUUAGGGGUCAUUUGGUUGGGAAUGUAAUUAUACUGGGAUUAGUUUUGGUGGAAUAAAUUAUGAUGUGAUAAAUUAUACUAAGAUUAGUUGUAUUGAGACUAUUUUUUAUUGAGUGUUUGAUUUGUUGUAUUUAAAAUAAUAUGCAUGGUUUGUUUUAUUGCGUUAUAUAUAUAUAUAUAUAUAUGAUAAUCUAAAAAUUUGGAGGGCAAUUGUACCCUUUUCUAAUUUUUUCUAAUUUUAUCUCAAGAAUAAAUAAUGAUGGGAUUGUUAUCCCACCAAAUGGGUGAAUAACUUAUCCCAAUACUAUUUAUUAAUCCCAGAAUAAUAUCCCAAAUAUUGCCAACCAAAUACGCAUUAAAAUUUUUAUCCUGAAAUUAUUAUUUUAUCCCGGAAUUAUUUGGUUUUUUACCUUACACCAAAGGACCCUUAAAAUAGGAGAGAGUGAAGUAAGACUGAUGCAGCAUAAGUCUAAGAACAUUGAUGAGAGAGCUGCAUAUGGAAAAAUAAUCAUGAUACUACUACCAUUAGUAAAAUAGGACAGCCCGAGCAUAAAAUCUCCCGCUAUACAUGGUAUCCGAGGAAAAACUAGAGCACAAGGAUACGCAAUCUGAUCCUACAUUUCUACAAGAGGUUAUUUCGAUGGCUUAAACCCGUCGUCCUCCUGAUCACAUGACGACAACUUUACCAAUUACACCAACGCUCCCCUUCUUACCCUUUAUAUCAGUCUAGACGCGAUACUCAAGAAUUGAAUUAAGUUGUAAAUCAAAACAACUAGCAAUGAUCUUUCACCAGCACUCUUACAAUUUGUCAAUAACAAAAUUUUGCUUACAGUACACUAGCAUAAAUAAAAUUCCAACGGCAUAGCAAUCUAUCUCCCCACUAGAAACAAUGUUGUUCCUGGCUGUCACUUCUUACCAUCCCUAUUAGAAAAACACCAAUACCUGGGCUUGAUACUUCCCCUUGACGGAAUGAACUCCUGUUAUCUACCACGAGUGUGUCCAUUGUCAAAUUACUGUUGUGCGCAUUGCACUCUCUGGGCACCACCAUGCAUAUCGUCAUCAUCUUCUUCAUAUGCCUCUUGGGCCUGUUGCUGCUGCUUCCUGCGCAUUUCCUCUUCAAUGUUGACAUCAUGCAAGGUGGUCUCCUCGCACUCAUCCAAUUCCAUAUCGGUCGCUUGUGUUUUGGGUUUUUGGGGCAGCACUGCUUCAAGAUUCUUGCACAACUCUGGGGUUAAUGCGUCCGGGAAGUCCACAGUGAAGUGAAUGUACAGUUUACCUCUCAUGAACGAGCUCUGGUACAGCGGCAUUCCUUCAUCAUUUAUGCCCUUGAACUGAUCUAUGGUGCCAAAAACAGAAAUUACACAAUAUCAGCAAACAUAAAUAGAUAACUACCAGUAGAGAAACACCAACCAUAGGAUACUCUCCCCACCCCCAUCCCUGCUCCCCCCCGGUGAUAUGUGUAUCAGCAAGAAGACCGUUUAACCAUGAGCAAGAGACGGUCAUCUAGAGGCAUAUACUUAUCAAUGCAUGCUCACCAUGUAAACACAAAGAAAGUGAGGUAUAGCAUAAGACAACAAAAGUAGACUAAGCAUGCACAUUUGUUAAGUUUUUUUUUUUCUAAAAAAAAAAGGAAAUAAAAGGAACACAAAGAAUUCAAAAACAUGAUAAUGGUCUAGUUACCAGCUUGAGGGCUCAAAGAAAAGCAUAUUAUAAAAAGGGCAGUGUGUUGCACUAAGCUCCCGCUAUGCGUGGAUAGUGGGGUCCGGGAAAGGACCAGACCACAAGGAUCCGUAGUACGCAGCCUUACCUUGCAUUUCUGCAAGAGGCUGUUCUACGAAUCAAACACGUCACCUCCUGGUCACAUGGAUGCAACUUAACCAGUUACGCCAAGACUCCCCUUCAAAGAAAAGCAUACAAAUGCAAGGAAAUUUAUUAGUAUUCAUAUCAAAG